rnacentral:lncRNA from 1 species
UUAUGUGUACAGGCUCUCAGAUAUGCACUUCUCUUUUGCUCUGCUGUUGUCUCAUUUCAGUUUCUGGGUUGGAUUGUAUAAAUGAUGGCUCUUCACUCUUGUCGGACUUCCCCUCUGCUGUUGUGGGAAAGAAAGAAUAA